rnacentral:rRNA from 1 species
GGGUUGUGAGGUUAAGCGACUAAGCGUACACGGUGGAUGCCCUGGCAGUCAGAGGCGAUGAAGGACGUGCUAAUCUGCGAUAAGCGUCGGUGAGGUGAUAUGAACCGUUAUAACCGGCGAUUUCCGAAUGGGGAAACCCAGUGUGUUUCGACACACUAUCAUUAACUGAAUCCAUAGGUUAAUGAGGCGAACCGGGGGAACUGAAACAUCUAAGUACCCCGAGGAAAAGAAAUCAACCGAGAUUCCCCCAGUAGCGGCGAGCGAACGGGGAGGAGCCCAGAGCCUGAAUCAGUGUGUGUGUUAGUGGAAGCGUCUGGAAAGGCGCGCGAUACAGGGUGACAGCCCCGUACACAAAAAUGCACAUAUUGUGAGCUCGAUGAGUAGGGCGGGACACGUGGUAUCCUGUCUGAAUAUGGGGGGACCAUCCUCCAAGGCUAAAUACUCCUGACUGACCGAUAGUGAACCAGUACCGUGAGGGAAAGGCGAAAAGAACCCCGGCGAGGGGAGUGAAAAAGAACCUGAAACCGUGUACGUACAAGCAGUGGGAGCCUCUUAAUGGGGUGACUGCGUACCUUUUGUAUAAUGGGUCAGCGACUUAUAUUCUGUAGCAAGGUUAACCGAAUAGGGGAGCCGAAGGGAAACCGAGUCUUAACUGGGCGUUAAGUUGCAGGGUAUAGACCCGAAACCCGGUGAUCUAGCCAUGGGCAGGUUGAAGGUUGGGUAACACUAACUGGAGGACCGAACCGACUAAUGUUGAAAAAUUAGCGGAUGACUUGUGGCUGGGGGUGAAAGGCCAAUCAAACCGGGAGAUAGCUGGUUCUCCCCGAAAGCUAUUUAGGUAGCGCCUCGUGAAUUCAUCUCCGGGGGUAGAGCACUGUUUCGGCAAGGGGGUCAUCCCGACUUACCAACCCGAUGCAAACUGCGAAUACCGGAGAAUGUUAUCACGGGAGACACACGGCGGGUGCUAACGUCCGUCGUGAAGAGGGAAACAACCCAGACCGCCAGCUAAGGUCCCAAAGUCAUGGUUAAGUGGGAAACGAUGUGGGAAGGCCCAGACAGCCAGGAUGUUGGCUUAGAAGCAGCCAUCAUUUAAAGAAAGCGUAAUAGCUCACUGGUCGAGUCGGCCUGCGCGGAAGAUGUAACGGGGCUAAACCAUGCACCGAAGCUGCGGCAGCGACACUAUGUGUUGUUGGGUAGGGGAGCGUUCUGUAAGCCUGUGAAGGUGGCCUGUGAGGGUUGCUGGAGGUAUCAGAAGUGCGAAUGCUGACAUAAGUAACGAUAAAGCGGGUGAAAAGCCCGCUCGCCGGAAGACCAAGGGUUCCUGUCCAACGUUAAUCGGGGCAGGGUGAGUCGACCCCUAAGGCGAGGCCGAAAGGCGUAGUCGAUGGGAAACAGGUUAAUAUUCCUGUACUUGGUGUUACUGCGAAGGGGGACGGAGAAGGCUAUGUUGGCCGGGCGACGGUUGUCCCGGUUUAAGCGUGUAGGCUGGUUUUCCAGGCAAAUCCGGAAAAUCAAGGCUGAGGCGUGAUGACGAGGCACUACGGUGCUGAAGCGACAAAUGCCCUGCUUCCAGGAAAAGCCUCUAAGCAUCAGGUAACAUCAAAUCGUACCCCAAACCGACACAGGUGGUCAGGUAGAGAAUACCAAGGCGCUUGAGAGAACUCGGGUGAAGGAACUAGGCAAAAUGGUGCCGUAACUUCGGGAGAAGGCACGCUGAUAUGUAGGUGAAGCGACUUGCUCGUGGAGCUGAAAUCAGUCGAAGAUACCAGCUGGCUGCAACUGUUUAUUAAAAACACAGCACUGUGCAAACACGAAAGUGGACGUAUACGGUGUGACGCCUGCCCGGUGCCGGAAGGUUAAUUGAUGGGGUUAGCGGUAACGCGAAGCUCUUGAUCGAAGCCCCGGUAAACGGCGGCCGUAACUAUAACGGUCCUAAGGUAGCGAAAUUCCUUGUCGGGUAAGUUCCGACCUGCACGAAUGGCGUAAUGAUGGCCAGGCUGUCUCCACCCGAGACUCAGUGAAAUUGAACUCGCUGUGAAGAUGCAGUGUACCCGCGGCAAGACGGAAAGACCCCGUGAACCUUUACUAUAGCUUGACACUGAACAUUGAGCCUUGAUGUGUAGGAUAGGUGGGAGGCUUUGAAGUGUGGACGCCAGUCUGCAUGGAGCCGACCUUGAAAUACCACCCUUUAAUGUUUGAUGUUCUAACGUGGGCCCCUUACCGGGGUUGCGGACAGUGUCUGGUGGGUAGUUUGACUGGGGCGGUCUCCUCCUAAAGAGUAACGGAGGAGCACGAAGGUUGGCUAAUCCUGGUCGGACAUCAGGAGGUUAGUGCAAUGGCAUAAGCCAGCUUGACUGCGAGCGUGACGGCGCGAGCAGGUGCGAAAGCAGGUCAUAGUGAUCCGGUGGUUCUGAAUGGAAGGGCCAUCGCUCAACGGAUAAAAGGUACUCCGGGGAUAACAGGCUGAUACCGCCCAAGAGUUCAUAUCGACGGCGGUGUUUGGCACCUCGAUGUCGGCUCAUCACAUCCUGGGGCUGAAGUAGGUCCCAAGGGUAUGGCUGUUCGCCAUUUAAAGUGGUACGCGAGCUGGGUUUAGAACGUCGUGAGACAGUUCGGUCCCUAUCUGCCGUGGGCGCUGGAGAACUGAGGGGGGCUGCUCCUAGUACGAGAGGACCGGAGUGGACGCAUCACUGGUGUUCGGGUUGUCAUGCCAAUGGCACUGCCCGGUAGCUAAAUGCGGAAGAGAUAAGUGCUGAAAGCAUCUAAGCACGAAACUUGCCCCGAGAUGAGUUCUCCCUGACUCCUUGAGAGUCCUGAAGGAACGUUGAAGACGACGACGUUGAUAGGCCGGGUGUGUAAGCGCAGCGAUGCGUUGAGCUAACCGGUACUAAUGAACCGUGAGGCUUAACCUUACAACGCCGAAG